GUCCCUCGUGAGUUUAACAUGAAAUGUGCUUUCCCUGAAUCGGGGCAGAGGGGUGCCGAGCUCCUCUCAGAGCUGCCCCUGCGCCGUGAGCAUGCUCUCAAGGCAUGAGCAGCAUCUGGGGAGUUCUGGCUCUCGUGCACGAGCACAGCCCUCUGGUUUGCAGGGCGGGGUGUUAAUUUAGAGAUCUGUCCUUCAAAGCAGGGAAAUGAUGAGAAGCCCAAGUUCUGAAGGAGUGUCCCACAGACCCGUGACUCCUGCCGCAGUCAGCAGGUUCAGCCAGCACCUGUGCAGACCCUGUGCCUCUACAAGAAACUGCGUUUUCCUGUGAAAUGCUGCACAAUCCCAAUGGCACUGCGAGAGAGUCCCCAAAGUGAAUCAUGAGCAUGAAGGAAAGGGGCCCUCUGGACAUAUCCAACACACUGGGCAUUAGCCCAGCUUCCAGGUGCACCUCUCUGUUAGGUAUUUUAAACUUCUUGGAGGCUCUAAAUCUGGUCAGCUGUCCUCAACAGAUGACAUCCACCAGUCUGUGCGUGAAACCCUGAGUUUACAGGUUAUGCCAAGACAGAAGGAGGGACUUGGAGAGGGAAGAUUAACCUUUCGCUGGCCACGAUUCCUUCCCUCUUAUCGUGGAGGCUUCGGCAACGCGCCCCCCUCCCAGCCAGCCUAUCUGUCUGAAUUGCUGAAAGCAUAAUGCUCCCAUAUGAGAGAUAAGAGUCCCAUGCAGCUGAAAAGGGAGAAUCCUGUGCUCUGAAGUCCAGAACUCCAGGGCCUUCGGCAGAGUUGCUCCAGGAGUAAAUUUGACGCCCCGGUUUUCAUCCAGAACUUAGAAGUCCGAUGCCGCUGAAGUCACAAAUGAGGAGACAGCAGGAAUGGCAGCAAUGUGGGUCUUUCCCUCUACAGAACACCGCAGUCGCCUUCCAGUUGGGCUGGUUUGCAGGAAAUCAGGGAAGAGAGACGUGCACUGUGCAUAACAGCACUCUGCAGUGGGAGAAGCGAGAGAAACUAAGCUACAUCCUGCAAGACUGGAAAUAGAGAGGAGGAAGUUGGAGCCUUCUCAGUGAACCACAGCUUUUCUGCCACAGGGGAACUGGUGGAAAAAGGUUAUGAAAAUCAGCAGUUCAGAAAAUAUUCCUCCAGGUGUGAAGUCUGAUGUCAGUCAGCUUCAGAGAAACAGCACCAGCCGAGCUGAGGACCUGCGAGCAAACAUCAGGGACCUUGAUAAUGUGACAUCACAGCCCGUUCUUCUCUAGUCAGUAAGACCAUCCAGUCCCUCUUGUGUAAUUUGUGGUGGCUUUACAUACUUCGACGCCAAUCUGAAGGACAAACCCCAAGCUUUUGGAUGCUGCUCAGCCAGGACAAACCCCAACACAUGGUAUGUUUGACAGUUGUUAUACAGCAGCUUUGUUCCACACUGCUGAGAUGCACAAAAUCCUCUAAACAAGGAUCAGACUGGCUACUUCCAUUUGAUUCUGUGAAGUGCUUUGUGAUCAUUCUGUGAAUAUAACAGCCCAAGUAAAAAUAUCUCUGUUUUAUUAAGAGUUUCAGUUAAAGUGUUUAAUACCCAGAUUUUAUAGUGAGAGAGCAUCACAAAGACUGAGUACAGCAUAAUGGCAAGCCAGGUAUUGUUAUGAUUAUCAUUACUAUUAUUUAUAUAUGAUCACUGAAGUACUAAGUGAAAACUGGGAAAUGGAGUUCCUGAGUCCCACAGAGCUCAUAGUAACAGCUGUUUUUGGAGGAUGCAACAAUAGCAGACCAGCUCUGCUUCAUGGAACAAUUAAUGGUGCAUACAGCCCAGUCUGGAAAUCCCUGAUCCCGAAUGGGUUUUCCCAUUUUCAAAAAUCAAAGAGGGUAAAAUUUCAGUUGGAUCGUACCUUUUUUUAUUCUGGUGCCUCUUACUCUUCCCAUUGCCUCUUUUCUCUGCCUGUUGGUGUGAAGGGCACCCCUGCACAUUAGAACUGUGCUGUGUCUGUUUAUCCAGCAAAGCAGCUGGAAACUCCUCAUCCAAGUGGUAUUUGAAUGCCUUUGCAAGGGAGAGAAAUUCUGCCUUCCUCACUUGUCUUUCCCAUCGGAGUCUUUUAAGUGUCUUGGUCUCCUAAAAGCUAAAGUGGAGCUUUCGCCUGAGAUUUAAACCGAGUGUAAACCUUUGAAAAGCAGAAAGCCCGAGAGGGGCUGUAUCACCAGAGCAGUGAAUGGGCUGAGCUGAGCAGGGCAGAGGCAGGACUGGCCCAAACCCCUGGUCCUUACACCAAGAGCCGUGACCUCGUGUAACACACAGAGCUCUGCUGUUCCCCAAUCCUGACCCUUGACCAACACCUGAAGGCUACAGGAAAGGUUUUCUCCUUCCUUAUCUUGGCUAUCAUUCCCUGGCAGAUUCCAGCUGCUGAGCUCAACACCCUAACAAAGAAGCUGGGGAGUUGUUUUCCACUAGGAUUUAUACAGAUGGGAUGCUUGGAAGUUAAAUCUUCCAACCACCACAGUGCACCAUAGUGUAAGAAAAAGAGCAGGAGAUAAAUUUUCCUGCCUUUGAAAUUCCUGCUCAUGUCACUCUCUGAGCAAAUUUUUACCAUUUUGACACUGGUGAGAAGAGCUAUUCCAAUGUGAGCCUCUUACUCUGCACUGCAGUGCAGGGAUGAAGGUAAGGAUGAGCAAUUGGAGCACUGUCAGGAUUACACCCAGGUCAGAUUUUUCAUUCUGCUAAAAGAUGCUUCUUUUGACACGGAAAUCAGGAAAAUGCAUUGAUGCAAUGUGUUGAAAAGGACCAAAAGGUUGUUAUUUGCUCCCACCAAUACAGAGAGACACAACCCUCCUGUAAGGCAAAAAUAUUUUCCAGUGAAAACACAAACUUUGACACUGAGUGCAACAUAAUGGGAGGGCCCAAGGGGGGUUUUGGGGAGCUCCUCAGGGAGAGGGGGCUUUCCGUGGGCUUCUUUGCUCCUGUCUGUAGGGUGAGCUCCCAAAUGUUUGGAUAGAGAAGGCAGCACGCAUCCAGAUUUUAAACGAAAUAAAAUAAAAGGGAUUGGCUAUUUUUCUUUCUCAUGGAUGAGGUUAUAAGGUUAAUAAAAGAGUUAAUCCCAGCCUGCUCUGGAAAAGGGAACAGCUCACAUUUGUGAGACUUCAAAAGGCUUCAGAGUGUCUGUGUAUGGAUGUUGUUAUUUCCUGUCAGGGCUAUCCCAAGAAGAUGGGGGCUGGGAGCUGAUUUUUGGAAGAAGAGUUUGGCCUUUAACUAAAUCAGUUGGAGUGAAAAUAAAAAGGUUAGUAUAAAAUUAUUUUGAGAGCAAACUCCAAUUCAAUAAAAUUCUGGGGUUUUUUUCCUUUCUUUUUUUUUCCCCUGUGAAAAUCUAAAAUUAAAACUUACUGCAGAGCAGUGGAGGCUGACCAGAGCAUCUGAACCAGAUGGCCCAGAGGAUCUGGUUGGGUUUUUAUUUUAUUUUUUUUUAAAAUCAUUACAUGACUUUAAUUUUUAAAUAUAUUAUUGGUUUCAAAGGAAAAAAAAAGCCAAUUUAGGAAACAUUCAGCAAAUUAAAACAAAAUGAGAAAAGGGAAGUAGAGUAGGGAGAAGAAUAUCAUCAUUUUACUGAAUGGUUUUGUGGAAACAUAGAAGACCUGGAGAGCUUUCUGCCUGACAAACAAUCUUGCAUUCAGACGGGGGCAAUGUGCCCAGGCUCUCUUGCUGAGUCUGUAGUCAGCAGACAGACACGUUACCGGGGUGCUGCUGCCCUUUUUUAGAAGUGCAGUUUUUGGUGCUCACAGUUUUCAGGGAUUUGCUCUGCCUGCUCCAUGCAGAGCCAUGGCACAGAGUGAUGAGUGCCAGGACGGGCUCUUCUCCAUGUGGGGUGUCCUCACUGAUGCAGGGCACACCCGAGCUCUGGCCCUGUGCAGGAGGGCUGGGACUCUCCUGCUCCCCAGGCAGCUCUGCCUCGGCCCCGCUGAUCCAGCACCAGGCAGUGAUUUACAAGGAGAGCCGGGUGUCCAUUUGCUUCCCAGCAUUGAGGGAAUGAUCAUUGCACGGCAUAGAAAAUUACCUCGGGCCUUGUCAGGCUUUUCUGGAGAAAUAAAUAAGCCUGGGUUCCUUAUACCCUUCCCUGCCUUGGUGUCCCCUGCACAGCUGAGUCCACGCUCAGACACAGAGUAAAUGUUACAGUCGAUAUCCCUCAGCAGAGAAACUGCACUGCUAUUUCUUUUUUCUACCUUUUUCUCCUCUUGCACGAGGCUCCUGUGCUACCAGCUAACCAUUUCCUAUAAGAAAAUGGCAUUGUGUUAAAGUUAUAUAGUGUAUCAUAUUAAAUUUUAUAACAGUGCUUUGUGUUUUGAAAAGACUUUGGGGGGAAACAGCAUCAAUCAGGGAACCACAUUUGAUAGACUUGGAAGGGGCCUCCUGGGUCAUUUUGUCCAAGACCUCUAUGAAGCAGGAAAGCUUCUGCAAAAUACCUUUCCCAUAAAUGUAUCUAACCUUUCCUUAAAGACACUGAGUGAUGGUGCCAUAAAUACCUCAAGCAGCUAAACCAGUCUGAUUGACCUUACGAUCAGAAAGUGUCUUCUAAUACUGUACAGAAGGUACAAUUUUCCAUUCUUCCAGCUGCAGCUAAACAAGAAAAAAGGGCAAAUACACAGUAAUGGCCAACAAUACAGACUGUGCAAACAGUUUUACUUUCACUUUACUGCCAUCACCUACCAUAAAUCUGGAUGUACCCACUGAUACUUGGUUUCCCAGUGUAGUGUCUGUGAUCCUAGUAGUAUCCAUCUCACUUUGACUUUUGGAGAGCCACCAUUACAGAGCGUGGAAAUAAGGAAGAUGGACUAGCAGCACUUUCUGAUUCAGAAAGCCAUUUGAAACCCGAUGCUGUGUAGUUAAAGUAUUUAUUUCUAUUCUCUAUUUAUUAGAAUUUGUGAGGUGUUUCUUGUCAGGACCAUGGGAGUAGGGCAAGCACAGGGCUUUUUACAGCUCUGUCAGAGUGUCAAAGAGUAAUUUUUAUUCUCCCCCAAUAAUUGUGUACAUUGAAAAAUAAAUACCUGGUAGUUUGGCUGCUUGUUGCUGCAAUAGCAGUGCCUUGUAUGCUGCUGUGCUUUCUUUUUCUCAGUGAGUAGUAGAAGAAGUGUCAUUUUGGGUAGGUGUGUUAUUAAAUCACAGACACACUCAUUGCUGAGAGCUUCCUGAGCUGUACAUAAACUAUCUUUGGCUUGGAUUUUUUUUGUCUUUUUUUUUUGUGUGUGUGUGUGUGGUUGGUUUUGCUUUGGUUUUUUUUUUUUUUUGCAAGCACCAAAAAAAGGUGACAGAGCUGAAGGCCAGUUGUUCAACCACCUCUUUUCAUCAGGCGUCCCACAGUUGUACUUCUCCCACACACAGGACUGCUGCAAAAUGGGACAGGAAGACAAGGCCUAGGAGCAAAACACAGAGAGAAGAUAAUUUAGAAAGAAUGUGGUGAUGCUGGGUUUGAAGAAAAGUCAGUGACUCUGCAUGUCCCUGCCCUCUGCUGCAUCUCCCUCAUGCCUUGUGCCCUUGUGCCAGUUCAGACUGGCACUCACCUGUGGGUCUCAGCUCAGUGCUCAUCAUUUCAUCAAGGCCUUAAAUAAGCCCCCCAAAAUACAGAUUUUUAAGGCCUUUUCUAUAGAAUUAACUAAAUGUUAUCCUUUCCCUGAUAUGCAAAGUUAUAAAAUAUUUUUCUAGUAUUUAGUCACAUAGAAAUAUGUGAAAUUACAGUAGAAAUACUCCUCAUCCAGUUGUUAAGGGCAGAGGCUGCUGAGAUUGUGACCAUUCAACCUGAUAGUAUAAAACUGUAAAAUACCAAUGCCAAGAAAAAUACAAAUACUGACAGAGCUUUAGUCUAUUGUUUAUAUUCUCUUCAGACACUUCUUCCCAUGGCAUCACCAAAUCAGGCUUCCCUCAUCACCACAGAGUCGAGACAGCCCCAGCUCACCUCUCCCUCUGCUCCUGUCUGAAAUUCCAGCUGGAAGAGCAGCCCUUCCCUGCUUGAGUGAGUUGAACCCCCUCAGCUUUUGCUUCCAUGGGAGCCUGGUGCUCCAACCCACAUGACAAAAUCCGAUCCUCCUGCUCCUGCUGACCUGCUCCAGCCCCUCGUAUUCCCCAUUUUCCUCUCGGUGCCCUCCAGUCCCUACAUCAUAAAUAGUUGUUGGAGGGGAAGAGAAGCAUAAUUUAUUCUUUUAUGUUGGAAAGGAAAUGAAGGCAAAGAGGGUUUUUUUUUUUUUGGUUCUUUUAUCGUUGUUGUUAUUAUUAAGAGAGGGCUUGUUUAGGGGUUUUUUUCAGUACAGACAAGUUCUAACCUGUACAUGUGUGUGCUCUUAGGUACUCCUGAAAAUAAAAACCACAUUUGCAUCACAUAUGCUUAAAAUAAAAAGAAAUUACAUAUCAUAGAGGUUUUCUGAUCCUGUUCAGUGCACAAAUGCCAAUAUGGGGUUCUAUCUUGCAAUCCAUUUUGAUAUUUACAACAGAACAUGGCAUAUCAUUUAAUUUAAAUUUGCAGCAUGCUCAGUGUAAUUAAUGCUGUGCAGUGCCUAGAAAAUCCUGAUUUCUUAAUGUGAUACAAUGCCUGCAUGCUGAGAGCUUUUUUUUCAAACUACUGUAUCAUUUUGGAGCAUUAAUGGGGAGGCACUGCCAUUAAACAGGGAAAAAAGAGUCAAGGCCACUUGGUCUUUAUGAAACUUCUGUGCAGCUCCCCAAAAUACGAUGCAAAGUACAGGUUUGUUUUAGGAGAGGGGGAGAGUCAGAGAUUUAAUUUUCCCUUGACACAGCAUGAUGCCUGAAUAGCCAGACAGCUAUUCCUAAAUUAUGUGCAUUUCAUUCCUAGGAGCUGUGAGCAUUUUGAAUGGGCUGUUGUUAAAUACAGUACACAAGCAUAAAUACUCCAGGGAACAGCUAGCUGAAAUUUUGGCAUGAGCAGAAAUCUGAUGUAGUAUCUGAGCAUGUAAUAAUAAUGCAUAUUGAUUUGUUGGGAAUGCUAGGAGAGGGGUUUGGUAUUCUGGGAUGGGAACUGUUAAACUUGGGAACAUCUUGUGUGAUUGUAAUACGCUGUGAUAUUUGUGUGCUGUGGGCUUGGCAGGGAUAGGGAGGUUCACAUGAAGCUUUAGACUUGGAGACUGGCAGGGUUCUCAGUUUUGGAACCAAACACAAAAAACCGAGUGCAUGGCAAAGAUAUUUAUAUAUUAUAUAGAAAUGAAGCCUGGAGAAAUGGGAACCAGAAAGGGAUAUGUUUAGCAAGAAGGGUUGUGACCAAAUGCCCUUCAAGGUCAGGAGCUUUACUGCCAUGGCUGCCCGGAGCUUGGGUGUGAGUUUACGUGCUUUGGGGGGCAGCUCUGUGUUUGAUUGGCACCAAAAGAAGAGAAAAGGGAAAAAAAACCAAAAAACAAACAACAUUCCCCUAUCAUUUUGCAAGGCAUCAGUUUCUACUAGACUGUACUAUAAAAGCACUUCUUAUAGACCUGUUGAUAGCAAAACAAAUUCUUCAAGUGCUCUAAAUAAAUCUGUUUCUAUACAUAUUGCUUCAACUUCUCUGUUCUCAUCUGACACCUGACAAUUCCACCUUAAGAGUAAUUGGUCCUGCUUUGAACCUCUGCAAGCACAGUGGGAGGAGGGUGGGCACUUUAUUGACUUGGAUUGAUUUUGGUAGGAAGCACAUGAGACAGACUCGGCAUGCGAUGUCGCACCUGGGAUACAUCACACUCCUCAAGAACAUCUGCAGGCCACGAGCAGGGCUCAAGAGGAUGUGGAGGAGGCCUUCAAACAACCCCAUCCCACCAAGCGGGACCUCUCUGCGUGGUCACCUUGGAGAGAAGCACCAGCUGGGACUAAGUUUAUCAGCCAGGUGGGAAUUUCAGGGGGUGGUGCCAUGGCUCUUGGGGUGGAAGCCAUGCCAAGCCACGGGCUGUCUCCACAGGCAGGAACUAAAGGGUUAUCCCAGUGCAGGUUGGCCAGCACAUUGAUCUCUUCACACUGUGGUGUCUGUGUGAAGAGCCCUUCUCAAGAAGGGCUGUUGGGAUGAGGGGUUGGACGUUUCCACACCCGGAACUGUGUUUUCCAGCGCUCUGGUUAUUUGAGAGCGUUGCAGGGCAGUGAAAGGAUUUGUGAACCGGCUGCUUGGUUUGUGACAAAAAAAGUGUCAUUGAUAUUAAUAGCUCUGAGCUCCAGUACAGACCUAAAAAAGCCCAGGGAAAUGGCAGAACAAAGGGAGACAGAAACAAGAUGGCACUGAGGGUCUCCUCACCAGGGAUGCUGAUUGAGACGUGAGGUGGGGGCUGUCCCACCCGUGUGCGGGUUUGGCUGGGGAAAUCUUCCUCCUCCCGCUGUCUCGCCUCCCUCAUCCAUAAUGAGGGAAGGAAUAACUUUGCAGCACACUUUGCAUUGGCAUUGCAUGCUAACUUCAUUACUGUUUGCAACAGCCUGUGCAAUCCUCAGAGGAAAGGAAUAAUAACAAAGAAAAAAAAUGAUAAUUACCAAGCACAUAGUUUUCAUCUAUAAUCUUCAUUUCAGGAUUCACUCUUCCUGAUGUCAAUAUUUUAUAAUGGAAGAAUGAGAUAUGCUAAGUUUCUGUUUGAUGGAAGUAAAUUCAGAUUUAAUAUUGCCGAGGAGCUGAAUUUUUAAUAGAGCAGAGCAGUUUGCAGCCAUUGCAGCCCGUUUGCAGCUCCUGCCGCUCCUUUGUACCGGCUCAGCCACGUUCCCAUGACCAGGCAGAAAAAUGGGAAGAAGCUGCUCUGGAUCUGCAGUGGGGUGACAGUACUCUGUCACUUAGCUCUGUCACGAUAAUUGGGAGUGUCACACAAUGAAGCAAUAUGACACGCCCCCGGUAAAUGAAGAGUUUUCAAAGUGAUGUACAGCUCCUGUCAACUGCCAAAGCUUUCGUUUGCUCACGGAGCCAGGCGGCAUUUCCAGGAGGAAAACCGCCCUGGAGAGGCACCCUUGGAAAGUUUGUUGGGAAUUGAUUUCCUCUGUGUUUUUGUGAAAUGGAAUAGAUGCUGUGAACAGGAGAAUGCCCCCUUUUAUCACACACUCCCAGUUUCCAACCUGCUGAGCACUUUCCACAAACUCUUUAGGAAUUUACCUCUUUUUGUUAAAUUGGGUUGGAUCUCAUUAAUAAAAGAAUGGUAUAAUGGAAAAGAGUUUCUAAAAUUAUACUGUAACCUAGAAUUGCAGGAUUCAGCUUUCUCUGCCUGAAGAAAAAAAUUCUGAAGCAUUAAACUUACUUUAUCAAGCAUUGCACCUGACAUGCUCUCAUAAAUUUUACAUACAUUUUAACUUAUUUUAAUAUUAUGCAGGCUUGGUUUAAAAUAUUCCCAUGAAGUACCUAAAAUGAAGCUGCUCAGCCAUAAAUUAGAGCUAAAAAAAUACUUGUCCAUCCCAUCCCCCCCAUCAAUAUUUCUUUACUUAAAAUCAUGCGUUGUAUGUAAGUUAAAUUUUCCCUUGCUGAGAUACUUUGUAUAUCUUAAUAGGAACUACCACAAGCCCUGGGAGCUGUAUUUCUGUAGGGUUACAUUUAGUUUUGGGGUUUCUUUUUGCUUUUUUAGAGGUGUCUUGCCUAAAAGCAGUCAGUAGUAACCCUUUGCAUGCCACAGCGCAGUUAGACACAGUUAAACAUGAGGCCAAAUAUGUAUAAUAUACGUGUGUGUGUGUGUACAUCUGUAUGUAUGUCUCUGUGUGUGCAUAUAAAGACAUAAAUAUACAUAUCACAGAAUCACACAAUGGUUUGGGUCAGAAGGGGCCUUAAAGUUCAUCUCAGGCUUCUCUGCCAUGGUCAGGAAUACUUUCCACUGUCCCAGGUUGCUCCAAGCCCUGUCUAACCUGGCCUUGGACCCUUCCAGGGAUGGUAGCCACAGCUUCUCUGGGCAACCUGUGCCAGGGCCUCACCACCCUCACAGAGAAGACUUUUUGUCCUAAUAGCCAAUGUAAACCUCCUCUCCAUCUGAAGCCAUUCCCCUUUGUCCUGUCACACCAGGCCCUUGGAAAUGGUCUCUCUCCAUUGCAGGCUCCCUUCAGGUACUGGAAGGCUGCAAAUAGGUGACUCCAGAGCCUUUUUUUUUCCAGGCUGGACAACCCCAAUUCUCUCAGCCUUUCCUCACAGGGGUGCUCCACCCUUCUAACCAUCUUGCUGGCCUUCACAUGUAUAUAUAUAAAAGUUUUUCUGCAGGAGCAGCCCUGUAGCAGCCCCGCUGGUUGGAUGGGGGAUGGACGGAAGCUUCUCGGUGUGACAGCCCCAGGUUGCCCCUCCUCUGGCCAAGGUCCCCGUGCAGCAGGUACAUCCCUGGCAGCUCCUCACAAAGCUCCAUUUGUGCCCCGAUUUCUGAGGCUAUUUCAAAGCCCAGGCUAAAUUACACAAACAUUUGGCUAUAGACAUAACAGGCCUGUUCUGCAGCGCUGUCAGCUCCUUGCCUCCCGGCCCUGCAUGUGUCUGUCAGGCCAUACUUGGGCAGCGCCGCAGCGUGCGCCGUGUCCCAGACACUGGAGUGAUUAUGUCUGGAUGCUCCUUAUCUGAUGGAAAAGCCGGCAGUGCUGCACAUCUGUGCUCCGAGGCUCCGCUGCUGCAGUGCCACGCCAGUGUUUAUUUUGCUUCUGCAAGUUAGUUUUCCUUGAGAAGCAGCAGGGGCCUUCUUCAAUGAACUGAAAAAUGUGUAUUGUAUGAAGGUCUGUGGAGGGUGUGCACCAUAGUUCAGUGGGCAAAUGUGAACCCAGGGGAUGACAUUUCAUUUAAACAUUUGGUUUACAUCUUUACAUGCCAAAAAUAUUAAUGUCUUGACUUUAGCAAACCGAAUCCAGUACUUUUUUCUUUUUCCCCUUAAAUGAAGUAAUUAUAGCCAAAACACUCUGUGGGUGUUUGUUCUUCCUUCUCAAAGGUGGAGUUUCACACAGGAACAUUUCGUUUUGGGGCUGGAAUUGUCAGUAGCUGCUCGCUUGACACUUCCCCGUUAGUUUGUGUUGGAAACCACCGGGAGUUUCUUUCCUUGUGUUUAUUGUGUUACCCUCAGCCCUUUGAUCGGGACAUCUUGGAUAACAGCAAAGUCUAGCUCAGCGCCUGUUCGCUAUUUUAAAAAAAAGUGAAGAAUAUGGUUUCUAUCAAAGGAUCUACAAAGACAGUUAAUGUAAUUGAGAAGCAGAAGGGCAUUUAUGGAAGUGCAUCUGAAUGUCCUCUUCACAUGUAAUUGCAUCAGGAAUUCUACAUUAACAUGCAAGUGCUGUCCAAAGGGAGAAAAAAAAAAAAAGCUUAUUUUUAGGUAGAAGCCCUCAGUGGGCAGUAAAUUACCCAUAAUCUCCCCCAAACUAGCAAUUAGCCCUGUUUGCUGACUACCUGAAUUGUUUCACAGUAGUUCAGCACAGUCUUACCAGUUAUCACCAUACUUAUAAUCAGAGAUUCCGUGAAUGAUUCCCGCAGCUCCACAUACUGCCUGCCUAAGGUCAGCCAUAAUAACAAAUACAUUUUAUUUGCUUCUUUUGGCCCUUUGGAGCUGUUUUCUCAGGCUGCAAUAUGUGAGGAGAGCUGGUGCUGCCCUGCUGCUCAAAUGGCAAGAAUGUGAACAGAGAAAGCAAUUCAGAGGGAGCUGAAUUCCUGUCCAGAGAGAAGUGGCAAAGAACAGCUGUGUUUCACCUCAAGGAUGGGCUGAGGAAGAUUUUCAGGUCACAGUUGGAACAUUUUAAUUCAUGGUACUAAAAGAAAAGCCCUGGUCACCAAGCAACUGAAGUCAGACAUGUAAAUUAUAUGUGCC